rnacentral:rRNA from 1 species
CAAGUCGAACGGCAGCACGGAGAGCUUGCUCUCUGGUGGCGAGUGGCGAACGGGUGAGUAAUAUAUCGGAACGUGUCCAAUAAUGGGGGAUAACGAGUCGAAAGAUUCGCUAAUACCGCAUACGCCCUACGGGGGAAAGCAGGGGAUCGUAAGACCUUGCGUUAAUGGAGCGGCCGAUAUCUGAUUAGCUUGUUGGUGAGGUAAAGGCUCACCAAGGCGACGAUCAGUAGCUGGUUUGAGAGAACGACCAGCCACACUGGAACUGAGACACGGUCCAGACUCCUACGGGAGGCAGCAGUGGGGAAUUUUGGACAAUGGGGGCAACCCUGAUCCAGCCAUUCCGCGUGAGUGAAGAAGGCCUUCGGGUUGUAAAGCUCUUUCGCAAGGGAAGAAAACUUAUGAUCGAAUAAAUCAUGAGGUUGACGGUACCUUGAUAAGAAGCACCGGCUAACUACGUGCCAGCAGCCGCGGUAAUACGUAGGGUGCGAGCGUUAAUCGGAAUUACUGGGCGUAAAGCGUGCGCAGGCGGUUUUGUAAGUCGGAUGUGAAAUCCCCGGGCUCAACCUGGGAACUGCGUUCGAAACUGCAAGGCUAGAGUGUGUCAGAGGGGGGUAGAAUUCCACGUGUAGCAGUGAAAUGCGUAGAGAUGUGGAGGAAUACCAAUGGCGAAGGCAGCCCCCUGGGAUAACACUGACGCUCAUGCACGAAAGCGUGGGGAGCAAACAGGAUUAGAUACCCUGGUAGUCCACGCCCUAAACGAUGUCAACUAGUUGUUGGUAGAGUAAAAUCUAUGAGUAACGUAGCUAACGCGUGAAGUUGACCGCCUGGGGAGUACGGUCGCAAGAUUAAAACUCAAAGGAAUUGACGG